rnacentral:rRNA from 1 species
AACGAACGCUGGCGGCGCGCCUAAUACAUGCAAGUCGAGCGAGAAGACGUAGCAAUUACGUUUGUAAAGCGGCGAACGGGUGAGGAAUACAUGGGUAACCUACCCUCGAGUGGGGAAUAACUAGCCGAAAGGUUAGCUAAUACCGCGUACGCUCCUUGGACUUCGGUUCGAGGGAGGAAAGCGAUACCGUGGGUAUCGCGCUCUUGGAUGGGCUCAUGUCCUAUCAGCUUGUUGGGAGGUAACGGCUCACCAAGGCUUCGACGGGUAGCUGGUCUGAGAGGACGAUCAGCCACACUGGCACUGCGACACGGGCCAGA